CCUACGGGUGGCUGCAGUCGAGAAUCUUCGGCAAUGGGCGCAAGCCUGACCGAGCGACGCCGCGUGCGGGAUGAAGGCCUUCGGGUUGUAAACCGCUGUCAGUUGGGAGGAAAUCUAUGGGGGUUCUCCCCUGUAGUUGACCGAUCUUCAGAGGAAGGACGGGCUAAGUUCGUGCCAGCAGCCGCGGUAAGACGAACCGUCCAAACGUUAUUCGGUAUCACUGGGCUUAAAGCGUGCGUAGGCGGCCUAGCAGGUGAGGUGUGAAAUCCCUCGGCUCAACCGAGGAAUUGCGCUUCAAACCGCUAGGCUUGAGGGAGACAGGGGUGAUUGGAACUGUUGGUGGAGCGGUGAAAUGCGUUGAUAUCAACAGGAACACCGGUGGCGAAAGCGAAUCACUGGGUCUUUUCUGACGCUGAGGCACGAAAGCUAGGGGAGCGAAC
rnacentral:rRNA from 1 species